rnacentral:rRNA from 2 species
AAAUAGAACUUUGCAGAGAGAGUUAACAGGGCGUGAAACCGUUAAUUGAGAAACGAAUCGGAGCCACGAAGUCGUUUCGCUGUUUAGUUGGAUCGGGUUCAGUUUGUGAGCUAAAACUCAUAGGCGUAUUCUCGUGUCUGACCAAACCUUGUAAGCGUACACUGCAACCAGUUAGACGAUUGGCCAUGGGCCCAGUUAGAUUAGUAGUAGCGCUGUGCAUUUCGGUGCAUUUGUGUUGCUGGAUCUAUGGCAAGUGAACUAUGGCCAAAUACUGACUGGCAAAAUGAAAAUCGCGUUUUACGCGUUCUAAAAAAUGCAGCUAAUUGUAUUGGUGUCUACACCUUAGACUAGUGGGUCUAAGCUCAGCACUUUUGAAUUUAGACUUGCUUGCUACCAAUGGGGCAACUCUUGGUGCUUGUAUAGCUUCUAUCUAAUCGGGUGUUGACUUGGCACGCUAUGUUCUAAUGUGCUACGAUCGGAUGCUAAUAUAAGUUGGUUCGCAAUUGAUUGGCAGUGAGUAGGUCGGCUUUCCGAACGACCCGUCUUGAAACACGGACCAAGGAGUCUAAUUAGGUAUCGAGUCGAUCGGUCUUGAAUAGGCCAGACUAGUGCGAGCGUGCUGAGAAGGCGUAGAGAUCGUGUGAUCAUGGGAGCAACAACAGCUCUUAUGCGCAACAUGUGCCUGUUCGUAUAGCAAUGUAGCAAUAAUUGCUGAGCGGAGCAAAGAGAUACCUGAUUGGGACCCGAAAGAUGGUGAUGCUUGGGCAAAUUGAAGCCAGAGGAAACUCUGGUGGAGGAUUUAGCUGACGUGCAAAUCGAUCGUCAGACCUGAGUAUAGGGGCGAAAGACUAAUCGAACCAUC